GAGCAAAGCGCCACGCCCCGCGAGGGUAAGCGAUCUACGCCCUACCCCACCGGAGAGCUUCUGGGCGCGUCCCCUUCUCCGGGAGACCUAAGGAGGGCAACCACCGCUCCCAAUCUCCCUUGGCGGCGAGAACUGGAGGCAGGUGCACCCACCACUAGAAUUUGAACAUCCUAAGAACAGGUAUUUUUGUCUCUGCUUUGCUGAUGUAUCCUCAGCAACCGGAACUGCCUGACAUCUGAUCCUUUCUGUGAGACACCAGGCUGUUGAGGAAGAAUCUAUGGCAACAUUGUAUCUAUUAAUAUACAGCUUCUGUAUUUAUCAGGCCCAGUUCUGGUGAUGAUUUCACUUUUGACAGAAGCUGUCCCUCAAAAGCAAACAUGCAAUAGAAGAAACAGAUCUCAAUGGAGUCUCACUCUGUCACCCAGGAUGGAGUACAGUGGCGUGAUCUCGGCUCACUGCAAGCUCCGCCUCCUGGGUUCAUGCCAUUCUCCUGCCUUAGCCU
rnacentral:ncRNA from 2 species